AAUACGGAGGAUGCGAGCGUUAUCCGGAUUUAUUGGGUUUAAAGGGUGCGUAGGCGGUUUAUUAAGUUAGUGGUUAAAUAUUUGAGCUAAACUCAAUUGUGCCAUUAAUACUGGUAAACUGGAGUACAGACGAGGUAGGCGGAAUAAGUUAAGUAGCGGUGAAAUGCAUAGAUAUAACUUAGAACUCCGAUAGCGAAGGCAGCUUACCAGACUGUAACUGACGCUGAUGCACGAGAGCGUGGGUAGCGAACAGGAUUAGAUACCCUGGUAGUCCACGCCGUAAACGAUGCUCACUGGAUCUUGGCGAUACACUGCCAGGGUUCAAGCGAAAGUAUUAAGUGAGCCACCUGGGGAGUACGUCGGCAACGAUGAAACUCAAAGGAAUUGACGGGGGCCCGCACAAGCGGAGGAACAUGUGGUUUAAUUCGAUGAUACGCGAGGAACCUUACCCGGGUUUAAAUGUAGAUUGCAUGAGGUGGAAACAGUUCUUCCCUUCGGGGCUAUUUACAAGGUGCUGCAUGGUUGUCGUCAGCUCGUGCCGUGAGGUGUCGGGUUAAGUCCCAUAACGAGCGCAACCCCUAUCGCCAGUUGCCAUCGGUUGAAGCCGGGCACUCUGUCGAGACUGCCACCGUAAGGUGCGAGGAAGGCGGGGAUGACGUCAAAUCAGCACGGCCCUUACACCCGGGGCGACACACGUGUUACAAUGGCCGGUACAGAGGGCAGCCACGGGGUGACCCGGAGCGAAUCUCUAAAGCCGGUCGUAGUUCGGACUGGAGUCUGCAACCCGACUCCACGAAGUUGGAUUCGCUAGUAAUCGCGCAUCAGCCAUGGCGCGGUGAAUACGUUCCC
rnacentral:rRNA from 1 species